rnacentral:rRNA from 1 species
ACUCCUACGGGAGGCAGCAGUGGGGAAUAUUGCACAAUGGGCGCAAGCCUGAUGCAGCAACGCCGCGUGAGGGACGACGGCCUUCGGGUUGUAAACCUCUUUUAGUAGGGAAGAAGCGAAAGUGACGGUACCUGCAGAAAAAGCACCGGCUAACUACGUGCCAGCAGCCGCGGUAAUACGUAGGGUGCAAGCGUUAUCCGGAAUUAUUGGGCGUAAAGAGCUCGUAGGCGGUUUGUCGCGUCUGCUGUGAAAACUGGAGGCUCAACCUCCAGCCUGCAGUGGGUACGGGCAGACUAGAGUGCGGUAGGGGAGAUUGGAAUUCCUGGUGUAGCGGUGGAAUGCGCAGAUAUCAGGAGGAACACCGAUGGCGAAGGCAGGUCUCUGGGCCGUAACUGACGCUGAGGAGCGAAAGCAUGGGGAGCGAACAGGAUUAGAUACCCUGGUAGUCCAUGCCGUAAACGUUGGGAACUAGAUGUAGGGACCAUUCCACGGUUUCUGUGUCGCAGCUAACGCAUUAAGUUCCCCGCCUGGGGAGUACGGCCGCAAGGCUAAAACUCAAAGGAAUUGACGGGGGCCCGCACAAGCGGCGGAGCAUGCGGAUUAAUUCGAUGCAACGCGAAGAACCUUACCAAGGCUUGACAUAUACCGGAAAAGUUCAGAAAUGUUCUCCCCGCAAGGUCGGUAUACAGGUGGUGCAUGGUUGUCGUCAGCUCGUGUCGUGAGAUGUUGGGUUAAGUCCCGCAACGAGCGCAACCCUCGUUCUAUGUUGCCAGCACGUAAUGGUGGGAACUCAUAGGAGACUGCCGGGGUCAACUCGGA